AUGGCAAGUUCAAAGGGGAAAAGAUCAAGUGACCUUUGACCUAGAGCUGUCAAAACCUGAGUUGAUCGAAAGUAGGGUUUAUUAUCUCUUUCACCAAAAUAAUAAAAAUACAAAAUAUCUAAUGAAAGCAUGUUUAAAAAAUAGAACUACAGUAAAGACAAAAUAGAAUUCAUGGUAACAUAUAAUGCACAUGAAAUGCCAAUUUUCAAGCAUUUGAUCAAAUCUAAUCAAAAGACACUAGUAAAGUUAAAGUAACCAGUAAAGUUCCCUGUUGACAUUAAACUAACCAGACUCCCCACGAUGCCCAGUUUCCUCUACAGCUACAUCAGUAGAUGUUGUAGCAGUGAGGAGGAGCCACGCUGACGUGGAGCCCACAGCUCCAGCUGACUGACUGUGUGUGUUUGCAUAUGUGUCCUGUUAAGAGACCAGUGUUGAUCAGUGUGUGUCCAGGUCUUUCAGCGGCAGGACCAUGAUGAUGUCUCUGACUCUACUGCUGGCCACCCUGGGGCUCCUUGUUCAGGAUUCAUGUGGAGACAUCGUCCUGACUCAGACUCCUGGAGCUUUGUCUGUUGCUGCACAACAGACUGUUACUAUUAAGUGUAAAACCAGUUCAAGUGUUGGUGAUGACAUCGACUGGUACCUUCAGAAACCAGGAGAAGCUCCUAAACUCCUGAUUUAUGACACAACAGCUCGUCAGUCUGGAGUUCCAGAUCGUUUUAGAGCAACAGCAGAUCGUGGUACUGAAUUCUCCUUAAUCAUCAGCAGAGUUCAGACGGUUGAUGCAGGAGUUUAUUACUGUCAACAGCAUAACAGCUUCCCACUCACACAGUGAAACAACGUCGUACAAAAACCUCCUCAGCUGAAGAGGAACUGAUCUGAACUAACAGCUGCACAAAAACACAAAGACUGAAAUAUAAAUAUACAAACAUUAUAAAUGAAAGGCCAAGAGUAAAAGGUAACAUAA